rnacentral:rRNA from 1 species
AGAGAGAGACAUGCGCGCAUAUCAAUAAGCGGAGGAAAAGAAACUAACAAGGAUUCCCCUAGUAACGGCGAGUGAAGCGGGAAGAGCUCAAAUUUGAAAUCUUAAAGGGUUUCCCUUUACGAAUUGUAGUUUAAAGAAGUGUUUUCUGUUGAGGUUUUGGUAAAAGUUCUUUGGAAUAGGACAUCAUAGAGGGUGAGAAUCCCGUAUUUGACCUUUACUUUCAACUUUGUGAUACACUUUCAAAGAGUCGGAUUGUUUGGGAAUGCAGUCCAAAAUGGGUGGUAAAUUUCAUCUAAAGCUAAAUAUUGGCGAGAGACCGAUAGCGAACAAGUACCGUGAGGGAAAGAUGAAAAGAACUUUGAAAAGAGAGUUAAACAGUACGUGAAAUUGUCAAAAGGGAAGCGUUUGACACCAGUGUUGUUUUUCUGAAAAUCAAUUAAAGAACUGUUUAUGCUAAGCUGUUUAGACUUUAUCAGCUAUCUGUUUAGUUUUGAGCUUUUCUUUAAUGCACUUUUCAGUUAACAAGUCAACAUCAAUUUCUUUUGCUGUAAAAAAGCUUGAGGAAGGUGGCUUGAGAUUCGUCUUAAGUGUUUAUAGCCUCUUGCCUAUGCAGUCGGAGAGAUUGAGGUCUGCAGCGUAGAUCCUUCGGGGCUAAAUGCAUUUGUGCUAAGUUAUAACAUUUUAUAGACAACUUGUUGACUAUGAUUUGUCUUGUAGCUUACUCGCUUAUGUUAUUUUACCUACGCUUAGGAUGUUGACGCAUGAGAUAUACGC